GAGAGAGUUACAGGGAGUCUUUGUGUUUAUACAAAACGAAACACAAGACUGAUAGAAUCACAGAUCCAACAAUCACAAAGAAGGAUAUGGAAGAAGAAAGUGUUGAAAGAAAAUUAGUCAUGAAUCAAUGAAGAAAAGCAAGAAGAAGAAGAACAAAACGGAUGAAUUAUGUUUGUUAAGGCAAGUAGUGUGGUGUACCCUGGAAUCUCUCAAUCACCUAAGUCAAGUAACAAAUAGACUCUCAACAAACCUGAAGACUCAACAACCAAGUCGUUAUCUUGACUUUGAAUAUCCUGUUAUCUCAAAGUACUCAUCUCUAAUAUAAAUACAAGUGUUUUAUCACCACAAGUUCUAUGGAAGAUAUUCUACCCAAAACCUAAAUAUCAAGUUCUAACUAUGUUGAAAUACUUGGUAUAGGCGGAAUCGGAAAUGUGGUUUUCGAAAGCGUCGGAUAUAUCUAAUGUGCUUCUACUCAAUAUUUUCAAGAGAGAUACAGAUGCAACUACUCAACAUAUCUUCGUCUUGGUUGCGCUAUUCUUGAUUUAUUAUUGGAUCGCCAAAAUUCAAAAAGGAAACCUCAACAGAGUAGAACGGAACAAGCUGAAUCAUCGGGCAGAGAUAUCCAACUAAUCAACCUAAGGAUAUUAUAAUUAUUCAACUUCUUGGCAUGGCUGACGACUUCAUUGAGGGUGGUGGUGAAGUUGAUGCUUGUAAGGAUGAUUGUAAAGUUACUUCUCCUAAAAGUCCAUCUCCUGAUGCCCGUCUCUAAUUUCAAAGAUGAAUCACGUAGGAUUUCUUCGCAUUAGAUGAACGUUAUAAAAAAGCUACACUGACAGGGAGCGGAAGGAUCUUGUGAAAUUUCGGACUACUGAAAAGCAUCAGGUAAAUUGAGAACUCUGUGAUGUUCACCCAGUAAGUUUCCUCUUUAAGUUCAACAUAUCUACUUAGGAUUCCAACCGAUAGCUUCUACUGGUGUCUACACCAGAUUUCUUCAAUUUUGUUUUCUUGUAUGUGGUGUUUAAUUUAUGUUGGUGCCAGUAGCCAAUUGGCAGAGCAAAAUCGUCCAAAUCAAUAAUAACGUGACCUUUGCAUAGCGAUUCUCUGUGCGCAUCAUAAUUUUAGUAAAUAUGUGAUUUUAUGCUUAGUUAAGCUGGUUCUUCCUCAAACACUUGACCACUUGUUUCCGUCUUCAUUUGUGUUGUUUAACAACCAAAGUAUCUGUGUUUGGGUACUUAUCAAUUCAGAUUUCAUCUUCGGUUACUUAGAUUUCAAAUAAAUUCAGCUCCUACAGUUGCUACCUUACACAUGGAGGAUCUAUGAUAUAAACUGUAUUUAAUGCAUUUACUGUUCUUUAUUGCUUCAAUCCAUCCCCGUGAGUAUUCUAUUCAUACUUUUCUCCAUCAGGCUACAUUGACAGUUUAUCUCGGAGGCUCAAACUCCUCCAGUAUGCGAACCUGUUCUUGUGUGCAUAUUUUGAUUGUUUCUAUCAGGGGCGAAUGGUUCACGAACAACGGAAAAUUUUGUGCUCUUUGAUACGGAAGGAAAAGCUCUCCCUGCAGCAUUGGCAGUGUUUACAAGAUGUCACAUUUUUUUUAUGUUUGUAAGUUAUUGAAAAAUUCUGGUUGAUGCUGUGAAACACUUGCAAGUUAUGUUUCAUGUAUCUAUUUUAUGAAAUUACAGUUGCUAGCAAGCUGAAUUGGCAGUGGGCUACUUCUGUAGUAAGAA